rnacentral:rRNA from 1 species
UACAGAGGUCUCAAGCGUUGUUCGGAUUCAUUGGGCGUAAAGGGGUGCGUAGGUGGCGCCGUAAGUCAGGUGUGAAAAUUUCGGAGCUUAACUCCGAAACUGCAUUUGAUACUGCGGUGCUUGAGGACUGGAGAGGAGACUGGAAUUCACGGUGUAGCAGUGAAAUGCGUAGAUAUCGUGAGGAAGACCAGUGGCGAAGG